rnacentral:rRNA from 1 species
AUUGAACGCUGGCGGCAUGCCUUACACAUGCAAGUCGAACGGCAGCGCGGGGGCAACCCUGGCGGCGAGUGGCGAACGGGUGAGUAAUACAUCGGAACGUGUCCUGGAGUGGGGGAUAGCCCGGCGAAAGCCGGAUUAAUACCGCAUACGAUCUUGGGAUGAAAGCGGGGGACCGAAAGGCCUCGCGCUCAAGGGGCGGCCGAUGGCAGAUUAGCUAGUUGGUGGGGUAAAGGCCUACCAAGGCGACGAUCUGUAGCUGGUCUGAGAGGACGACCAGCCACACUGGGACUGAGACACGGCCCAGACUCCUACGGGAGGCAGCAGUGGGGAAUUUUGGACAAUGGGGGCAACCCUGAUCCAGCAAUGCCGCGUGUGUGAAGAAGGCCUUCGGGUUGUAAAGCACUUUUGUCCGGAAAGAAAACCUCCGUCCUAAUACGGUGGGGGGAUGACGGUACC